AUUGAACGCUGGCGGCAGGCUUAACACAUGCAAGUCGAGCGGGGAAAGGUAGCUUGCUACCGGACCUAGCGGCGGACGGGUGAGUAAUGCUUAGGAAUCUGCCUAUUAGUGGGGGACGACAUCUCGAAAGGGAUGCUAAUACCGCAUACGUCCUAUGGGAGAAAGCAGGGGAUCUUCGGACCUUGCGCUAAUAGAUGAGCCUAAGUCGGAUUAGCUAGUUGGUGGGGUAAAGGCCUACCAAGGCGACGAUCUGUAGCGGGUCUGAGAGGAUGAUCCGCCACACUGGGACUGAGACACGGCCCAGACUCCUACGGGAGGCAGCAGUGGGGAAUAUUGGACAAUGGGGGGAACCCUGAUCCAGCCAUGCCGCGUGUGUGAAGAAGGCCUUAUGGUUGUAAAGCACUUUAAGCGAGGAGGAGGCUACUUUAGUUAAUACCUAGAGAUAGUGGACGUUACUCGCAGAAUAAGCACCGGCUAACUCUGUGCCAGCAGCCGCCGUAA
rnacentral:rRNA from 1 species